rnacentral:rRNA from 1 species
GAUGAACGCUGGCGGCGUGCCUAAUACAUGCAAGUCGAGCGAACGGACGAGAAGCUUGCUUUUCUGAUGUUAGCGGCGGACGGGUGAGUAACACGUGGAUAACCUACCUAUAAGACUGGGAUAACUUCGGGAAACCGGAUCUAAUACCGGAUAAUAUUUUGAACCGCAUGGUUCAAAAGUGAAAGACGGUCUUGCUGUCACUUAUAGAUGGAUCCGCGCUGCAUUAGCUAGUUGGUAAGGUAACGGCUUACCAAGGCAACGAUGCAUAGCCGAACCGAGAGGGUGAUCGGCCACACUGGAACUGAGACACGGUCCAGACUCCUACGGGAGGCAGCAGUAGGGAAUCUUCCGCAAUGGGCGAAAGCCUGACGGAGCAACGCCGCGUGAGUGAUGAAGGUCUUCGGAUCGUAAAACUCUGUUAUUAGGGAAGAACAUAUGUGUAAGUAACUGUGCACAUCUUGACGGUACCUAAUCAGAAAGCCACGGCUAACUACGUG